rnacentral:rRNA from 1 species
UUCCGGGGGGUUGAUCCUGCCGGAGGUCACUGCUAUUGGGAUUCGACUAAGCCAUGCGAGUCGUGAGGGUUCGGCCCUCGGCUGACGGCUCAGUAACACGCGGAUAAUCUGCCCUUGGGUGGAGGAUAAUCUCGGGAAACUGAGAAUAAUACUCCAUAAGUCUAGGAUGCUGGAAUGCACUUAGACUAAAAACUUCGGUGCCCAAGGAUGAGUCUGCGGACUAUCAGGUUGUAGUCAGGGUAACGACCUGACUAGCCUACGACGGAUACGGGUUGUGAGAGCAAUAACCCGGAGAUGAUAUCUGAGACACGAUAUCAGGCCCUACGGGGCGCAGCAGGCGCGAAAACUUCGCAAUGUGCGAAAGCACGACGAGGGAAUCCCAAGUGCUGGCUCGUUAGAGUCAGCUGUUUUUAUGUCUAAAAAGCAUAGAGAGUAAGAGCUGGGUAAGACGGGUGCCAGCCGCCGCGGUAAUACCUGCAGCUCAAGUGGUGGCCGCUAUUAUUGGGCCUAAAACGUCCGUAGCCUGUUUAUUAAAUGCCUAGGUAAAUUGUGUGGCUUAACCAUACGAAUUCUGGGUAGACUGAUAAACUUGAGACCGGGAGAAGCUAGAGGUACUCCUGGGGUAGAGGUGAAAUUCUGUAAUCCUAGGGGGACCACCAGUGGCGAAGGCGUCUAGCUAGAACGGGUUUGACGGUGAGGAACGAAGCCCUGGGGCGCAAACGGGAUUAGAUACCCCGGUAGUCCAGGGUGUAAACGCUGCUUGCUUGAUGUUGGUUGGGCUCCGAGCCCAAUCAGUGUCGGAGAGAAGUUGUUAAGCAAGCUGCCUGGGAAGUACGGCCGCAAGACUGAAACUUAAAGGAAUUGGCGGGGGAGCACCGCAACGGGAGGAGCGUGCGGUUUAAUUGGAUUCAACGCCGGG